ACUCAAAUGAAUUGACGGGGACUCGCACAAGCGGUGGAUCAUGUGGCUUAAUUCGUCGAUAAGCGAAGAACCUUACCAGGGCUAGAAACCAAGCUGCAUCCGACCUGAAAGGGACGGAGCCUUCGAGGGUGCUUGGCAGGUGAUGCAUGGUUGUCGUCAGUUCGUGGCUUGAGCUGUUCCCUUCAGUGGGGUAACGAACGCAACCCCCGUUGUCUGUUAAUUUUUCAGGCGAGACUGCCCCCUCACGGGGGAGGAAGGUGGGGAUGACGCCAAAUCAGCAUGUCCCUUGAUGCCCUGGGCUGCACACGUGAUACAAUGGUUGGAAACAGAAGGACGCAAUACGGUAACGUGGAGCAAAUCCCGAAAACCAACCCCAGUACGGAUUGAGGUCUGCAACCGACCUCAUGAAGCCGGAAUCGCUAGUAAUCGUAGGUCAGCAAUACUACGGUGAAUACGUUCUCGAGUCUUGUACACACCGCCCGU
rnacentral:rRNA from 1 species